UACGAAGGGUGCAAGCGUUAAUCGGAAUUACUAGGCGUAAAGCGUGCGUAGGCGGUUUGUUAAGUCUGUUGUGAAAUCCCCGGGCUCAACCUGGGAAUGGCAAUGGAUACUGGCAAGCUAGAGUGUGUCAGAGGAUGGUGGAAUUCCCGGUGUAGCGGUGAAAUGCGUAGAGAUCGGGAGGAACAUCAGUGGCGAAGGCGGCCAUCUGGGACAACACUGACGCUGAGGCACGAAAGCGUGGGGAGCAAACAGG
rnacentral:rRNA from 1 species